rnacentral:rRNA from 1 species
GAUGAACGCUAGCGGCAGGCCUAAUACAAGCAAGUCGAACGGUGUCUUCGGACAUAGUGGCGCACGGGUGCGUAACACGUAUGCAACCUACCUUACAUUGGGGGAUAGCCUUUCGAAAGGGAGAUUAAUACCGCAUAAGACAGUAGCUGGGCAUCCAGCAGCUGUUAAAGAUUUAUCGAUGUAAGCUGGGCAUGCGUCCAAUUAGCUAGUUGGUGAGGUAACGGCUCACCAAGGCAAUGAUUGGUAGGGGAACUGAGAGGUCAAUCCCCCACACUGGCACUGAGAUACGGGCCAGACUCCUACGGGAGGCAGCAGUAGGUAAUAUUGGGCAAUGGACGCAAGUCUGACCCAGCCAUGCCGCGUGCAGGAUGAAGGCGUUAUGCGUUGUAAACUGCUUUUAUACAGGAAGAAACGACUCUUGCGAGAGGCAUUGACGGUACUGUAUGAAUAAGCACCGGCUAACUCCGUGCCAGCAGCCGCGGUAAAAC